UAAGGAAUCUUCCACAAUGGACGAAAGUCUGAUGGAGCAACGCCGCGUGCAGGAUGACGGCCUUCGGGUUGUAAACUGCUUUUAUAUGGGAAGAUUAUGACGGUACCAUAUGAAUAAGGACCGGCUAACUACGUGCCAGCAGCCGCGGUAAUACGUAGGGUCCAAGCGUUAUCCGGAAUCACUGGGCGUAAAGCGUGCGUAGGCGGGAGUUUAAGUGAGAAAUUAAAUCGUGUGGCUCAACCAUAUCGAUGUUUCUCAUACUGGACGCCUAGAGGAAGGCAGAGGCAAGUGGAAUUAGUAGUGUAGCAGUGAAAUGCGUAGAGAUUACUAGGAACACCAAUGGCGAAGGCAGCUUGCUGGGCCUUUUCUGACGCUGAGGUACGAAAGCGUGGGGAGCGAAC
rnacentral:rRNA from 1 species